rnacentral:rRNA from 1 species
GAUGAACGCUGGCGGCGUGCCUAAUACAUGCAAGUCGAGCGAACGGACGAGAAGCUUGCUUCUCUGAUGUUAGCGGCGGACGGGUGAGUAACACGUGGAUAACCUACCUAUCAGACUGGGAUAACUUCGGGAAACCGGAGCUAAUACCGGAUAAUAUUUUGAACCGCAUGGUUCAAAAGUGAAAGACGGUCUUGCUGUCACUUAUAGCUGGAUCCGCGCUGCAUUAGCUAGUUGGUAAGGUAACGGCUUACCAAGGCAACGAUGCAUAGCCGACGUGAGAGGGUGAUCGGCCACACUGGAACUGAAACACGGACAAGACGCCUACGGGAGGCAGCAGUAGGGAAUCUGCCGCAGUGGGCGAAAGCCUGACGGAGCAACGCCGCGUGAGUGAUGAAGGUCUUCGGAUCGUAAAACUCGGUUAUUAGGGAAGAACAUAUGUGUAAGUAACUGUGCACAUCUUGACGGUACCUAAUCAGAAAGCCACGGCUAACUACGUG